CAGAGAUCGGAAACGUCUGAUCUCUAGAAAGCGAAAAUCGCUGAGACUCCGGACCUGCAAAAAGGCAUCAUCAAGGAGUCACUGAAGAUCAGUUUUUGCUCCAUCCCUUUCUGCAGAAGCUAAAUAAAUGCUACCACUUUCCACAUCCUCAGCGGGAGAGGGGGAUGGAAAAUGCCCAGAAGUCAGGGUGGAUGGGGAGCAGCACUCUCUACCAUUCGUCUGCUCUCCUCUUUUUCUGCCUUGUGGUGGUAGUGGAAUCAACCAGUGAGUUUCUCCUUUCAAUCUUCUGCUGCUGUGCCUGGGGACUAUUGUGACUGCUUUGUUGCUGCUAAACAUACCAAAAACCCCUUGUGGAGCGGGAGUCUUCCCAUGAACAUUUGGAUCCCCUUUCUUGGAAAGAAUUGCUCCUGCUAGAAAGACUGCAGCAUCAGCCAUGCGGUAAGAGCGUCCCUGAAACCUCCUUGCAUCGGGUCCAAGCUGCAGCAUCCUUUAGCUGCAGGCAGAAACCAGAGCCCCUUCAGAGCACUGCUUCACACUUCAAAGUUCUCAGGACUGAAGUAACUGUGAAUUAAAACCUAAACCAAACCAUCAAAAACCGCAGUAGGAGUGUGUGACAGAAUGCACCCUGUGUUGGGAUACCCUCCGAGACCUCUUUUUACUCCGCUUCCAAGAACUCAGUUCGACUCCAACCUUCGUCAUUCAGGUCUCUCCUUCUCCCUUCUUGUUACAGACAUACAGAUCUUUGUCAUACAGCCAGGAUCAUAACUGAACUGUGUCAUUGGAUGGUUGGUAUUCUGUGAUUCUUUCAGCUCUCUCCUGGACAGAUUUUCUGCUCCACCAGUGACCCAAACAGCAGCUGACAUUUAACAAGCUAAGAACGCAGAAGGCUCAGGGAUUGUCCAGUUUGGCCGAUGUACAUAGCAGAGGGGCAUUGCUGGCACAUGAUGGCGUAUAUUACAUUGGUGGACGUACAGAGCUCACAAUGCUCCAGCCUCGCACUCUGGCCUGUGAACUUCAGCCAGCAUUGGGAGUCAGUGGAAUCUCAUGGAAAGAAAUUCAUCCCCCGACUCUAAACAGUGUCUCCUAUACCUGCUAGACCGCUUCCACCUUGUGACGGCUCCCUUAACUCAUUCUUAUCCCUCCAUGGGCGAGAGAGUGCACGGAAACGGGAGGAGUCAGGGGGCAAAAGGAGAAAAUGUGGCCCAGGGUUUAGAAGUGGAACAAGAUCCGAGACGCCUGCUUUGUUCGGAGGGCAGCUUCUUUUACAAGAGUGGUUUGACAGGCAAUGUGUCAUGCCAUUCCAGUCCAGGCUGCAGUGAUGAUGAGAUCUGUUGCUACACCAGAAACCUUAGACACUACCUCACUAGUGACAAAUAACGUCUCUGAGCACUGGAAAACAUACUGGGACAGAGGAGACAGAACUUUUCUGGGGGCUGGUCUGAGACUGUGGAAUGAAUGCCACAAGGAACUAAGGAUCAUCACAAACCUGACCAUCUUCUGUUCCAACUGCAAGGCUCAUUGCCCUCUCUAACAAAUGUAUAGCAACGCACAAUAUAAACCUACUAAAACAAGACAUUCCACUGCACAUGCUUCUCCCCCUGGGAAGGAUUAGAGGAUAAACACAUGACAGAUGUUAGUCAUAUUGCUUAAUGCCUUACUAGAAGGCACUGAUACCAGCAUGAUAAAUGUGGUAUAAAACCUAUCUAGAAUAGAAUAGUGUGUUGGCAAUUCAGGAGGUGACAUUUCUCUGAGUUAGAAUUGAACUGGUUAUCCAGCAUGAUAUGAAGGGGGCAGUCUGCUAGUGGAGGGUUGGUUUCUUAUCAAACUUAAAACAGAUUUCAUGGCACUUUGUGGAGAAACAUUAAUUCCAGUUUACUGGGUAAAUUUCACUAGAGCUAAUUGUAAUUGCACACAAUGUAAACUGAAUAAUGUUUGUGAUUUUUCUAAAUUGCGGUGUAUUAUUGUGUGCUAUUUAACAAUAGGUGUGUUUGAUACUAGAGGUGACUGCAACUUUAUAUUGUAUACAAAAAACUAUGUUAAAAGAACAUUAACGCUGCAAAGUCAAACACUCAAAAGUAAAGAAAUGGCUGAAGUAAAGUAGUCUGUGCUGUCUCAGUGCCAGUCUCCUUAAUCACCAAAAAGCACAUCCUUGACCCAAAGGCGAGCUCCCUGCCACAUUUCAAGGCCCUGUCUAAAGGAUCUGGGUGAUAGAGCCUCUCAAAGAAAAGGGCAGAACAAAGUAUUUUUCUCUAGCCUCAUUUUUGAAAAUAUUCAGACUCUGUUGGCUGAAAUUUUACAAAAACAAUUCAGCUGAAAGACAACACCCAGCCUGGAAAAAUGUCAGCCCCAGUAGUUAAAAUCUGGCAAAAUGAUAAACUGAAAACUGAGUCUUAUAAUGGGAAAUGUCAGCCUAAUAAUAGGAGCUACCAGCCCCACCUAUAGUGUGUGUGUGCUAAAGUGCUGAGCCUCUCUUUCACUGAAGGGCACCAAACUUAUAGUAGUUUCAGUAUUACUGCUAUUACUACUUACCCUGGAUCAACACAUUUUCAUUAUAGGUGCUGGUUCUUACAAUAAGUUAAUUCCACUGAAGCAAGUCCUAGUGAAUAGCUGUUGUUUUGACUGGAAUCAGUACACAGUUGCUAUGGCCCUCUCUAUAUGAAGGAAAAGGAAGGGGGACAGUUUUCUGCCAUCAGUACAAAGAGACAGGAAUUUACAGGAUAAAAGUAUAUUAAUGUUACUGAAGGGAAGUAUUUGAUCAUUAAGAUAGUACACAGUUUAGUUUAUUAUGUUUUCCUCCCUUCUGUUCCCCAGAAACAGUUAUGAAGCCAGGUAUGGACAAAGAAUGAAACAAGGAGACACCAUUUUCACUGCCAGCCAUUACCGUUAUGACUAACUUUAAUCAAUCAAUCAAUCCUAAAUCACAGUUACCCCUUGUGUAAAAGGAUUAUUUACAUGGCUAAGAUCUAAUCUCAAAAGUGCUCCCACAAGGGGUCUAACAAGCUACUUAUAGCACAGAGUUACAGUAUGCUUAGCUUUAGCUGUGGCUGUGCAAAGGAACCUACAAAGAAAAGUUGUAGCUAGUAAUUCAGGUUCUGGGAAUCAGCGACACCAGUGCAGACUAAUGUACUUUCUACUCAUUGGCUCAGCACAGAAUGCAGUAGUCUGAACUGGUGGCUGUCUGAAUCCCAGAAACCACUAAUAUAACCAAUAUUUCAUGACUCCGUUAUUAAAAACGGAUUCUCAUUCAGUACGAUUGAGAUAGAAAAGAAAUCCAUACAAAUGCAAAUUCAAAAACAGAGGAUGUUUUCAACACCCAAAAGAAUGGAAUUAGUAUGUUGUGAUCUUCAUUGGAGCUACACGAUGCAGUGGUUAUUCUUGUAUCUGUAUCUUGUAACACUAUUUUGUUUUAUUUCUCAAUCAUUAAAGUAACUGGGAAAAUG